ACUUCCUUCUCCAAGACGUGCCAGUCUUUCAUAUCUUUCCAUAGCCUUACUUGGGGCACGCGACCUAAAAUUUCAUCCCAAAUGAAAAUCAACUUUGAAUUAGAUAUGAAAAAAGAAAUUCACCCUAAUAAGAAAACGGAUGAAACUGAGGAUGAGAAUUUUUGAAAGUAUACGUACAAAAGUCCAAAGAAGAAAUUCAUUUAGUCUGCGUAUAAAAAGAACCUUGUCAGAGAACAUACCGAGGAAUACUGGACAUACGUAGAAUUUUUAUGCUUGUUGCUUGAUUAUUGACAAUCGAUAAUACUUCGUCAGAAAACAUGAGUUUGAACGACUUUUACAGAGGGUCACAUAUUUUAAUCAAAUAUAUUGCUCCGAGAAUGAUGCAUAUUUAAUGGAUUACAGAAUAUAGAAAAAUUAAUGACGAUUCAUGCUCGAUUGGAUUUUUACCGUCAUUUGUCCCUUUCCUCGACUUUCAAUCUUCGGAAGAAGACUCGCCCCUUGUUCUGGGACGCCUCCACAUACUGCAAUUAUUAUCUAGGAUCAAACUAUGCAAACUGACUCUUUCCAA